UACGUAGGUGGCAAGCGUUGUCCGGAUUUACUGGGUGUAAAGGGCGUGCAGACGGAGAGACAAGUCAGAUGUGAAAUCCACAGGCUCAACCUGUGAACUGCAUUUGAAACUGCCAUACUGGAGUGCCGGAGAGGUAAGUGGAAUUCCUAGUGUAGCGGUGAAAUGCGUAGAUAUUAGGAGGAACACCAGUGGCGAAGGCGGCUUACUGGACGGUAACUGACGCUGAGGCUCGAAAGCGUGGGGAGCAAACAGG
rnacentral:rRNA from 1 species